rnacentral:tmRNA from 1 species
GGGGACGACAGGACUCGACAGGUACGGCUGGGUGCGGGUGGCGGGCCGAGGUGUCAUCGCCCUCGUUAAUCAGGUGGCAAACGGAUAAAUGGCGACCGUCAACUCGCCCUCGCUGCCUAAAUAAGGUAGCGACGUGGUUCGUGCCCCCGCCCCGACGGGACAUGGGCCGCGACGUAAUGCCGGGGUGCUGCGCAACCUGUGUCGCAGGGGAAAGCGCUUAAGACUUCUGAGACUGGCCAGGCCUGCUCCCGUGUUCUGCGGGGAGCGCUGGCGAGAUUAAUCGCAGGACUACGCCCGUAGAGGUUCGUGUCCGACGUUCUCUGGACGGGGAGUUCAAUUCUCCCCCGUCUCCACCA